GACGAACGCUGGCGGCGUGCUUAACACAUGCAAGUCGAACGGAAAGGCCCUGCUUUUGUGGGGUGCUCGAGUGGCGAACGGGUGAGUAAAACGUGAGUAACCUGCCCUUGACUUUGGGAGAACUUCAGGAAAAUGGGGCUAAUACCGGAUAGGAGAUCCUGAUGCACAGUGGGGGUGGGAAAGUUUCGGCGGUUGGGGAUGGACUCGCGGCAUAUCAGCUUGUUGGUGGGGUAGUGGCUUACCAAGGCUUUGACGGCUAGCCGACCUGAGAGGGUGACCAGCCACAGUGGGACUUACAUACCCCCCAGACUCCUACCUGCGGCAGCAGGGGGGAAUACUGCACAAUGGGCGGAAGCCUGAUCCAGCCACGCCUCGUGCCGGAUGCCGGCCUGUGGGUUGUAAACCGCUUUCGCCUGUGACGAAGCGCGCGUGCCGGUACUGCGUAACGAAGCACCGGCUAACUACGUG
rnacentral:rRNA from 1 species